GCGCUGCUGCGUACACGCGGUUAUGUAUAUAUAAUAGAUAGUCGUCUAUGUAUGUAUAUGCAUGGAGCUUUAUGGAUAUCUGGCAUCUCCUCUCCUCUGUGAAAGGUAAUGAAUGCAUCUCAGCACUGCAGGAGCUCUGCUCUGCUGGGCCCAGCACUGGGAUCCUGCUUGGAGGCAAACCAACAACUCAUCCAAACCCCGAGGA
rnacentral:lncRNA from 1 species